GACAGCAUGGUGUAAUGGUUUGAGCAUUGGACUAUGACUCUGGAGACCAGGGUUUGAAUCCCAGCUCAGCCA
rnacentral:tRNA from 1 species